GUGAACGCUGGCGGUAGGCCUAACACAUGCAAGUCGAACGGCAGCACAGUAAGAGCUUGCUCUUACGGGUGGCGAGUGGCGGACGGGUGAGGAAUACAUCGGAAUCUACUUUUUCGUGGGGGAUAACGUAGGGAAACUUACGCUAAUACCGCAUACGACCUACGGGUGAAAGCAGGGGAUCUUCGGACCUUGCGCGAUUGAAUGAGCCGAUGUCGGAUUAGCUAGUUGGCGGGGUAAAGGCCCACCAAGGCGACGAUCCGUAGCUGGUCUGAGAGGAUGAUCAGCCACACUGGAACUGAGACACGGUCCAGACUCCUACGGGAGGCAGCAGUGGGGAAUAUUGGACAAUGGGCGCAAGCCUUAUCCAGCCAUACCGCGUGGGUGAAGAAGGCCUUCGGGUUGUAAAGCCCUUUUGUUGGGAAAGAAAAGCAGCAGGUUAAUACCCCGCUGUUCUGACGGUACCCAAAGAAUAAGCACCGGCUAACUUCGUG
rnacentral:rRNA from 1 species